rnacentral:rRNA from 1 species
UACGUAGGGGGCAAGCGUUGUCCGGAACUAUUGGGCGUAAAGAGCGCGUAGGCGGUCCGAUAAGUCGGCUGUGAAAGUCCAGGGCUCAACCCUGGAAAGCCGGCCGAUACUGUCGGACUAGAGUCCGGAAGAGGAGAGUGGAAUUCCCGGUGUAGCGGUGAAAUGCGCAGAUAUCGGGAAGAACACCUAUGGCGAAGGCAGCUCGCUGGGACGUUACUGACGCUGAGACGCGAAAGCGUGGGGAGCAAACAGG